rnacentral:rRNA from 1 species
UACGUAGGGGGCUAGCGUUGUCCGGAAUCAUUGGGCGUAAAGCGCGUGUAGGCGGCCCGGUAAGUCCGCUGUGAAAGUCGGGGGCUCAACCCUCGGAUGCCGGUGGAUACUGUCGGGCUAGAGUCCGGAAGAGGAGAAUGGAAUUCCUGGUGUAGCGGUGAAAUGCGCAGAUAUCAGGAAGAACACCCGUGGCGAAGGCGGUUCUCUGGGACGGUACUGACGCUGAGACGCGAAAGCGUGGGGAGCGAACAGG